AUCACCCGGGGAUCUUGUUAAAAUUCAGAUUCUGAUUCAGUAGGUCUGGGGUGGGGCCUGAGAUUUUCCAUUUCUAAUAAGCUCCCAGGUGAAGCUGA
rnacentral:pre_miRNA from 1 species